rnacentral:rRNA from 1 species
GCGUAUCAGCCUUUUGGGUGUGAUUAUGUGGAGCGUGAGGAGUUAAACACCCUCAUCUUUGCAUAUUCGUGCACUUUGGGUGUACUUGCUCGUGUGGUAGGUUAACAUCAAUUUUGAUCGUCAUAAAAUGGCUAGAGGAAUGUAGCUUCGAUCUCGUAUUGAAGUGUUAUAGCCUUUGGUAGAUGUGAUGAUUAGGAUUGAGGAUUGCAACGGAUACCCUUCGGGGCUACCUGCCUGAUCUCUGAAAGUUGCUCUGGUGCUGAAAGCUUGCUUAUGAUAUCAAAGUUGACGUUCAAUAGGUUAGAACGGGAUAAAUUCGUUAAGGAUGUUGACGUAACG